rnacentral:rRNA from 1 species
AUUGAACGCUGGCGGCAGGCCUAACACAUGCAAGUCGAGCGAGCGGCGGACGGGUGAGUAAUGUCUGGGAAACUGCCUGCUGGAGGGGGAUAACUACUGGAAACGGUAGCUAAUACCGCAUACCAUCAGAUGUGCCCAGAUGGGAUUAGCUAGUAGGUGGGGUAACGGCUCACCUAGGCGACGAUCCCUAGCUGGUCUGAGAGGAUAACCAGCAAAACUGGAACUGAGAUACGGUCCAGCCUCCUACGGGAGGCAGCAGUGGUGAAGAUUGCACAAUGUGCGCAAGCCUGAUGCAGCCAUGCCGCGUGUGUGAAGAAGGCCUUCGGGUUGUAAAGCACUUUCAGCGGGGAGGCGUUACCCGCAGAAGAAGCACCGGCUAACUCCGUGCCAGCAGCCGCGGUAAUAC